rnacentral:rRNA from 1 species
CACGUAGGGGGCAAGCGUUGUCCGGAUUUAUUGGGCGUAAAGAGCUCGUAGGCUGUUCGAUAAGUCGGGUGUGAAACCUCCAGGCUCAACCUGGAGACGCCACCCGAUACUGUCAUGACUAGAGUCCGGUAGGGGAGCGUGGAAUUCCUGGUGUAGCGGUGAAAUGCGCAGAUAUCAGGAGGAACACCAGCGGCGCGGGCGGCGCUCUGGGCCGGUACUGACGCUGAGGAGCGAAAGCGUGGGUAGCAAACAGG